rnacentral:lncRNA from 1 species
AUCUUGGCUGUCUGGUGCACUUGAUUAUCACAUUCAAGUCAGACGUGUGUGUCCUACAACAUUCAAUCAAUAGGACAAAUACAUAGAACCAAAGAAGAAGUUGUCUCCCAAAAACUCAACUGUUGUCUAUUGGUGCUAAAUAAGUACUCUGAAGAAAAUACGUCACAAAAAGGCUAAAUGUCGAAAACAACACAAUCUUCUGAAAACCAAGGGAUGUAUCUGCUGAAAAUGUACCUGCCCAUUUUUCAGGACGCCUCUGUAAACCCGGCCGAAGCCGCCCUUGCCGACGAGGUUCUUGUCGCUGAACUUGCCAGUCGCCUCCUCCAUCUCCUUGAGGGUGAAGACCAUGGAGCAGUUGCGCUUCUUCGGCGGCAUCAACGGCAGCGGGCCUUGCUCCUUCACCUGCCAUAGCUCGGCUGUCUUGUAUACCCCUGCAAACAGAAAGUUCAGAACUAUGAGCAGUUCACCAAAUAAAAUUGAGAAGGACUUACCUGACAACAAAAAUGAGAAGGAAAGAAAGGGUUGCACUCACAAGGAUUUAACUGAUCAAGUGAUUUGCUUCUCAUCCUCUUGUUCCAUGACGAGACUAUGUUGAACAUCUUGCCUCUUAGGAUCCACUACCAAAAGCUUUUGGCACCUUCGUUGUCGUCGAAACCUUUUUCCUUCUUGCAAAAAAUUAUUGCGGAUUCCAAUAUACCUUUCCUUGAUCAAAAGGCAGGAGGAUUAUUCCUUGCUCCGGUGAGCCCAAGGCACACAGGCACUUCCUUUAUGCGAAAAAGCACAUGUGCUGGAAGAAUGGCUGCCACUGCAAGUAUCAGAAAUUCAGAACAAGACAUACAAAACAUGCAGUGCCUCAUCAAAGCAAAGCACAAGUUGAUCCGAGCAAGAAAACACACAAGAGACAAGGCUGACUGAACCUGAACCCGUGAAUCGGUCGCCGCAGAAGAGACGCUGGCUGGAGUACAAACAGGACAGAAGAACAGAGGACAAGAACAACUGAACAAGGACUCCAGUGCCGUAGCAAUACAGGCGUGUGCCAAGGAAGGCUUCAGAGAUAGAAACCGAGAUGGUCUCUUAGGAGCUACGUACCUACGACGAGACGCGCCACCUAAAGGCUCUUCCUCGUUUGCAAAGAAGUAAAGGAAGGACAAGGAGGAGGAAGAAGGAAUUGCAUCAACUGGCAAAGCGUGUGCACAAGGAGGGUCCUUAUGGAUCAAGAAAUGCCCAAACUCAAACGGAUGGUGGCUUGAUGCAUCAUCGGUCACUGGUUCGAGAAGCUAAAGUGCGAAACUGGGGCUUCUUUGAUCUUGGUUUUUGGAGGGGAAUGGAUUGGCGGGGAGGGUUUAUUUGGUUAUUUGGUUGGUGCAUUGCAAGUUUGCAACAGCAACAAAAUUUGGAGGGAUGGUGAGUGAUUGGGACAUCGGGAGGAAGAAGCGGAAGGGCCUGAUGGCGACUAAUAAGGAGUGAGAGGAGCGGUGGUAGAGGUGGUGGUGGUUGCGAUGUAGCCGUUACCAAAGAAGCUUUCUUCUCAACCUGAAACCUUCAAAUGAAUAAUCAAACAAUUCAGUCACAACUUUUGAAUCAGAGAGAAAUACAUACUAUAUUCAUCAAUCGUCAUCGGCCAAUCCAUCGAAGCAUCGCAGCCUAACUGGUCAAGAUGCACGAGAUAUAACAAGUUAUUGCUUUUGAGUUUAUGAUGGAGUUAAGGGAUACUCCAUUUGUUAUGUGCAUGCUUGAUUUUGACGCGGCGAAGUGAAACGACGGUUGGAAGGAGGAGUAAAUGUGCUUGUUAAGCGUUUUCUUGCGCGAUUUUGCUGAUGGCAACGUGUUGUCCCCCAUGGGGUGUUGUUAUAGGUGAGGUUGGUGGUUGCAGGAUUCAGCGGCAAAUGACCAAACUUGCCACUAGUUAAGAUUGGGGACUUCAGGGGCGCGAACAAGGUUAACUAGCUCAGGGUAUAAAUCCAGGACAAGCUUAACUAGUAGGAGCAGUACUCGCACGGUUUGGUACGAUCUGUUCUUUUGGGAAUUCUGAGGUUUUUUCAAAGUAAACACUUUUACUACUGUAACAGACUUGAGGAGCGACGCAUGGAUAUAGCUUCGGUUGGCUGCCGAGAGUUGCUGCUGAGCAGGCAGCCCACCGGGAUUCCAAGUUUCAAACCAUGCACGCCGCGCUGGGUCAAAAGCACGAAGUCCUUUGCAGAAAACAAAAAUUUCUUUUGACACCUGCAAAAAAAAAAACACAGAACUUGUACUGCAUGCAGUCAGCACAAACUUAAUGUGUUUGGAUAUUUCUAAUCCGUCUUAGUGACCUUAUCUAAGUUGAAUUAUUUCAUAUUUUCAUUUUGGUUAUAUUUUUGAGUGAAUUCCAUAUUUUAUAGGUAAAUUUCAAAAAACCGUUUUUGGGGCAUUCGUAUCACCAAAUCACACUUAUCGCAAAACCGUCCGCAUGACCACUAUAUUGAGACAAUUUGUCUCAAAUAGCCCGAAACCGAUUGGUUUUGGUGGUUUCACAUUUUUCCUUACAAGUGGGUCCCACAUGUCAAAUGCCACGUCAACAUUGACCCGAUCUGACCGGACCCGUUAACCCACGAUUAACACCCCCCAGUCCCUUUCUCAUUCCCGCGGUUGCAGUUUUCCCCACUUGUAAGGAAUCAUUGGCAUUCGACAGGUAGGCCCCAGCUGUAAGGAAUCUCGUGAAACCGCCAAACCACCUGGUGUCAUGUUACAAACUGCCUCAAAAUUUUGACUGCCUCGAAAACCGUGGUUUUCUAAAAUUUACUCAUUUUAAAUUCAGCUUUACAAACUCACACAACAAUUAUUCUAUUUAGCAAGAUUUCUUUCUAAUCCAUUUAGCACAAAACUAUCAUAUUUUAAGACCAAGAGGCUGCAAGGUUCCUUUGGAUGGGAAAACAAUUUAAAACAGAUUUAAACGUACUUUUUUGUUUCUUUUAUCUGUACAUGUAGCAUAGACAAGUUUUCUCAAAAUCUAUACAUUAGGACUCCCAAAGCCUAGUUAAUCACCACAUAUUUAACUUUCCUAGGCAAACUAUGGGCUGAGGCAGGGUGGAGAAGGGGAGAGAUUUGAGGAGGAUAGAAUGAAUGAAAAAAAUAAUUUGUACUGGAGAAUAUAAGGAGAAGACCAAACACCACCAAUUUGUCAUUCUAACUUCUUCUUUUUCUGAAAAUAGCUACAUAUACAGAUAAUUAGAAACAAAGGGAGUACAAAGCAAUAGCUAAGUCCUUAUUGCGUGAUGGGAGAUCAGCUUUGUUCUGGAGAAAUCAAUUGAUCGACCACAAAAAUAUAUGUAAGCUUUCAGAGGUGAUGUAGAGUGAAGUGCUUAUGUUCCGAAAUGUAAUGUGUAUAACUUUUGUUGUGUCAAACUUUUUAAAGUUUAAUUAAUUUUAUAACGAAAAUAUCAAAUAUCUUGUCAAGCUAAGACAUCAUGAAAAUAUAUUUCAUAAUAGAUCUAUAUGAUUUUUUUAAAUUUGACAAUCAACAAAAAUAUAAGUUAUUUUUUUAAAUUUGACAAUCAACAAAAAUCUAUUACAAUAUAUUAAAUUGGAAUCGGUGGUGAUAGGUGGGUGCCGUUGGUCGGUGUUGGUCGGUUAACUUCGUUAAAAUUACAAUCAAUAUGCCACUGCCCCUUAUUUUUUUUCCCUCCCGCCUUAUUCACGAUUUCAGUAGCAGAAAUUCUACGGUCUAGAUUUACCGAAAGUUAUCGUACGCUCCAAAUUUGUCACAACAUAAUAUGAACAGUUCUAAAAUAAAUCAAUCUCUUUAGCAUGAAAUCCAAAAUUCUUCGUAUCCAUCUCAGUAUGGAAAUCAAUCCGAACCCAAACAAAAAAUCUCGGUAUCAAUCUCAGUAUGGAAAUCAAUCCAAUCGAAAAAUCAAUGUCCAGACUUCACCUUCACCAGGUCGUGCUUGAUACACUUUCCGUUGUUCUGUAGCAUCGCACGGUUUUUUUUCUAGUAUAAGCUUAUAUUUUGAAACACGGGAAAUAGAUGCCUUGGACUCCGGAGCUGUCGACUUUCGCCGGUUGUGGCACGUUUGACACCACAAAACAUAUUUCCGUUCCCCUUAUAACCCCAGAGAACGGUCACCCUCGGAUCAACAAUCGGACGGCCGUGCAUCAACCCCCGACCAACCAAAGAGCGGCGGAGCUUGGCCAACCGGCGCCGACUCUCGCCUUCCUGCAACCCGCUGUUCCGAAAAGCGUCGUCCCCUUCCUUUCUCCUUCCCUCAGCCGACGCGAAUGGAGAAGGGCUCUGCCGCGGGAGGCAGCUCGCGGCCGCCGCCGAUGCCGAGUCUGGAAGAUUUCCCGUUCGAGGGCAAGAAACCCGUCAAGAACCCCUUCGUCCCCAUCGGUACGUACGCCUCGAGCGCGUCCCCCCGCUACUUUACAGAGUUUCUCUGGGAACUGGUAGGGCCGUGGAUCGGUCGCCUUGCAUUAGGUUUGCCAGGGUUUCUUUAUGGUUUGGGAGAUUCGGGUCGAAUUUGUGGUGACUGCUGCUUGGCAGUUGGGAUCGUGCUGUUUUAGGAUGGUGAUUGUUGGGAUGUUUAGGCGUGGAUGGGGAACAACGAAUCUGCGGCUCUUUUCUUGAAGGGUCGGCUAAGAUAAAGAAAAAUCUAUUGGUGGAUCAGACUUUAUUUUUUCUGCGUAAAUGAACCAGCAGCUCUGGAUAAUCAAUUGGUGCAAGUCGUGUAGAAGUGAAUCGAACUAUAUGCCGGUACUAUAUCUAUGUAUACUUCCUUAGUUACCAUGUCCCUUAAGUUUUUGUCACUUACUCACGUCCUGGCAACAAGAUUAAUUUCUGGGUUGUGUUUAUUUUUUCACUGUGUUAUGAGUGAUGAAUUGGUGAAACUGGAAACUUUAAGUUGUAAUCCUAAGCCUAAGCAAUAUGUCGUGCUCUUGCAUGCGGAAGAUACUCAAAUAUCUUGCUUCUCUAGAUAUCUUUCAUAACCCUGUUUUUUCAUAACACGUGUCAGCAGGAUUUUUAUUAGCAUUUGAGCUGGAUGGAAAUUCCAUGGGCAACAUCCUUUUUAUGUUUAGGAUUUUCGCCUCAGUUUUCAGCUUUUCAUGCAUAACAUUAGCACUUACAAACAAUUGGAUAUAGAUUGUAGAGUCGUGUGUCGAUGUAGCAGAGGACUAAAGAGUGACAAUUAAGUUCUCGGUAGCUCUCUAUGAAUUACUGAAUGAUGGGAUUGUUGUAAACGUACAGAGUAGGAUUACCUUAGUAUGUCAUUCUAGAAGUGCAUUGUAUUCAUCAGCAUUACUUUGUGGGAUCGAAAUUGUUUAUUAACAAGGUAGUAAAGGCGAGGGAGGAGACAGGAAGAGCCAGCUCACUUCUUUUAUGCAAACUACAAUGGGAUGCGGCCAGCCUGAACCACGAAGUGUGUGACAAGAAAAAUAACUCAGAAGUCAGCACAGCACAGCGCAUUUCCAAGAGGCUUAUGAGUUAUGACCUCGAUUUUUAGAGGGUUCAUAUGUUCUUGAUAUUAUAGGGUGUGAUUACUUGGUAUAUUGUUCGUCGAGGUCUAUAUUAUGAAGUAACUUAAACUAAUCAAGCUGGUUCUCUAGUUCUUUUUUUCGAGCCAGGGAGAAGCAACCUGGCUUCUUGAGUAACUCACAGUUGAUGUUCUCAUUAUGUGCAAAGUGGAUUGUGAAAGUAAAAGAUCCACUUGCUAGGGU